rnacentral:rRNA from 1 species
UCAGUUCNGACUGCAGGCUGCAACUCGCCUGCACGAAGUCGGAAUUGCUAGUAAUCGUAGGUCAGCAUACUACGGUGAAUACGUUCCCGGGCCUUGUACACACCGCCCGUCAAACCAUGAGAGUUGGCAACACCCGAAGUCGGUAGUCUAACCGCAAGGAGGACGCCGCCGAAGGUGGGGUUGAUGAUUAGGGUUAAGUCGUAACAAGGUAUC